UACGUAGGGAGCAAGCGUUGUUCGGAUUUACUGGGCGUAAAGGGCGCGUAGGCGGCAAAUUAAGUCAGCUGUGAAAUCUCCGAGCUUAACUCGGAACGGUCAGCUGAUACUGAUCUGCUAGAGUGCGGAAGGGGCAAUCGGAAUUCUUGGUGUAGCGGUGAAAUGCGUAGAUAUCAAGAGGAACACCUGAGGUGAAGACGGGUUGCUGGGCCGACACUGACGCUGAGGCGCGAAAGCUAGGGGAGCAAACGGG
rnacentral:rRNA from 1 species